GGAAACACCGUUCACGAUGUUUUUCGGCGAGAAAUUAUUGAUAUCUGAGAACAAUUUCUCGUCGUCCGAUUUACUUCAGUAUAUUGGAACUUUGAUCAAGGAGUCCAAGCUUCAGCAGCGUCGAGGUUCAAUCAACACUAAUUACGGAUGGUUGAAGUCCAGGAAUCCGAUGGAGGAAGUUGAUGUUGGAUUGGAGAAAUUUAACAAUACGAUUUUGAAACUGACUUCAGAGUCUCGAGCCGCCAUUGCUGUCAAACUUGACAGAUUAGUUGACGACUCAAACAUGCUACCGAGUGACAUUAUGACCGUGUUUGCGAAACUUCUAGACGAAGAAGAAAACAUUCAGCUGUUAGAGCGAAAUGUCAAGAUUGUCAAAGAGAGAGGGAAGAUAUGUAAAACAAAUCCUAAAUAUGACGCAAGGCGAUCAAGCCUUUCUUUUAUACUA